rnacentral:tRNA from 1 species
CAGGUUAAUUCUUUUAAGUUGAAAUUUUCAUUUACAUUGAAAAAUUUGUCGUGCAAUUCGAUGUAAUCUGA